GUGCGUCGUGCUAGAUUUCUCCCCCUUACCAAAACUUCAGAGGAGAAGAGAGAGUUCUCUUGUAAUAGGAUUCUAAACAGACCCACCUCACCGGGUUAAACCUGCUGUUUAGUGCCUCAUACUUGCCAGUGCCAGUGCAGUGAAAUGUACAAGUGUUGGCAUGUAUUUGAUCACUCUCACAGUCAAUUACACCGGAUACACUUUAGUGAGCGAUGAGCGAUCCAUAUUUUACGCGAGUCCUGUGACUGAGAAAUAAUCUCUGCUUUCACAUUGGAGUAACACGAGGGUGAGUAGCAGGAUUUUUAUUUUUGGGUGAUCUAUACCUUUAAGACCUUUAAGCUUGUAGAUCACAACGAAGAGAAACUGGAAGCAUUUAAACGUGAACAGUCAUAAAAUCUGACCUUAUUUAAAAGCCCUCGAAAUGUUUGUUUCUAUUUUGUUGCUGCCCUUCUCAGUUUUAUUUACUUUAUCUAAGUGUUUAAAAUAACUUGAGUGGUCAGCUUUCCUCUCUUCAAAAGCCCGGAGGUGAAUGCAGAUGUCAUUUUACAAGGUGCUACCAGUGGGAGAGUUCACACCCACCCUGAGAUUCUGCAGGCUCAUUCCCAGCUGGCCAUAAAUAACGAAAAAUGGAGGAAGACAAUUUUUGUAGUUUUUACUUUAAUUGUAAAGCCAUGCAAAUCAGUCAGUGGUGUUCAGUUCAAAGUCAUGUAAUGUGUUUGAACAAAUGAAGGUAAAGACUAGGCAGCACCUCAGGUAGAUUAAAUAGGAAAGUGUUUGUAAUUAUAUUGUUUUAUAGUGUUUUCCUUGCAUAGUCUUUUAAUGACACAUCUCACCCUUUGACCGCCUGUGUCUUAUCUAAGCAGUUUUUAACUUUAUUAACUCCUAGUGUAAGAUCUGUGCGGUUCAGAAUGUUAAAAUGUAAAGGUUUUGUUAAUAUGAGACUCUCCCACGAAUAAAACCUGCUUGUAAAAAGAUGUUGUUUCAUUUACCUUAGAACUAAACAACGUUGCAAGUUAAUAUACAAUUUAAGGAAGCACAUUUAAGAUGCUGGUAUGUUUAGUUCUUUAGUUUAUAAAUCAGUCGUGUGUUCGAAUAGAUGGAUUUGCUUCGUGAUGGUAAUAAGUUUGCCUAAACAGUUUAACAGCAUAUGAUUCAGAGCUUGUGAAGAAGAAGCGGGUCACCACAAAUUCCCAAACAACUUUUUCUUGAGUGUGCUGUUUACAAGCAUUUUAACAAUACAUUUGUUAAAAAGAGAUCGUAAAAAUAAUCUUAAACUUUGGGUGCUUAAAUUCAAACUAUUAGAACCUAUUACUUGCAACAGAGCAUUUCAAAGCCACGAAAUAGGAAUAUUCAUUGAGUAAUUCUGGAUUAAAGCUCAUUAACCCUUUUGAUUAUCAGCGGACUUUAAUGAGGGAAAUUCAAUUUACAUGAAGUGUCGGGUCAUCCUCAGAUCUUGCCCUGUUGUGGUCGCCCCCCACAUGGAGCAUGUUGUGGAGCACCCCUGAGUAAAGUAAACACAAGGCCAACAGGGGAAACCAGAGGUGUUAUCGAUAACACGAGAAGAGUCUUGAUCUAAAUCCAGCCCCGCAGACUCCAUGCCCUCUGUAUGCCUGCGGAGUGAUGGAGUUUCACCCAGACAUGCAAAUCUCCGAGGCAACAAUCUCUGCAUUGCAACAAUCUGACAGAGAUUGUCAGCAUUGGUCACGUGACUUCUUGUUGCAGGUCAGAGUAUGAACUUUCAUACACAGCUGAAUGUGAAUGCGUAUGAAUGGGAGUCAAUAGGGCGCAAAGUCUCGCGUGAGGGCCCUUUAAAUCUGGCAUAAAAUUCUCCGUAAAAUACUUGUCGUGACAAACCCAUUAAAAUCGCAACAACGUUUGAGCUCAUGAUCCCAGGAGACCCAUAGAAGAAAACAUGUGAGGUUAAAUCAUCCUAAAAGGUUUCAUUAUAGAAUCUCUGCUGGCAGAUGUAUACGGGAGAUGGAGCGUAAAUGUGCCCCGUGAUUUUUUUUCCCCUUUAUGUUGGUAAUGAGACACAGGACAGUCUCAUGAAUGGUUUCUCGGUUGGAUGCCUCUUCACUGUUUGGCCUGCACAUCUCACACAGAUCUCCGACUGUCAGAACGAGAUGGAAAUGAGGGGCUGCUGCAGAUAUGAUCCCCCUGAGUGACACAGAUGACCUAGAAACACUGAUUGCUGAUAGUUAACAGCAGGUUUGGUCACAGGAAUCACACGAGGCAACAUCUGGCGGUGGAACUGUAAUGUGAGCUUUAAAGGUUUGAACUAACAUGCAUGAUGGGUGAACAGUCAGGAGGAAUUUUAUGCUUACUCAUUGGAGAUAUACAUUGUUUAGGCAUCAAAUGCGUCUCCUUAAAGGAACAGUUCACCCAAAAAUAAAAAAAUCUGUCAUAAUUUGCCCACCCUCAUAUUGUUGAUAACCUGUAUGACUUUCCUCUAGGCUCAAUGUUGUUUGUUUACCACGAUCUUCAAAAUGUCUUCAACUAUCCUUUCUUUUCUUUUAACUUCCAUAGUAUGAAUAGAAAUCUACACAAUUGAGACAACUGGAUUAAGUAGAUCCUGUGAUGUCUACAGAGUCUCCAGUUGGCUUUGUAUAGCAGUCGAGGCGUUGUGUGGGACUGUGUGUGCGACAUCUGCUAUUGCUUUUUGUGCGAAGGGAGAAAAAUCACAUUACGUUUGUCUUUGUCUGUGGCUCUAUGGCAACUAAAGUUGAUGUCGACUUGGAGGGAAUAAAAUCAAGUGAUGAAGGGGAAGGAGGCAACCGAGGGCAAACGGAGAAAGCUUAAAGACGGCAGAUGCUUCACACAUAUUUACUUAUCUCACAGCCCGUGUUUGUAUGGACGAUCACCCGACAAGCAUCACACGUAUACAAGUAGAAUCUAAUGACAAAUAAAAUACCUUAUGCUUGAA